rnacentral:rRNA from 1 species
UACAGAGGUCUCAAGCGUUGUUCGGAUUCAUUGGGCGUAAAGGGUGCGUAGGCGGCGCGGUAAGUCGGGUGUGAAAUCUUGGAGCUUAACUCCGAAACUGCAUUCGAUACUGCCGUGCUUGAGGACUGGAGAGGAGACUGAAAUUUACGGUGUAGCGGUGAAAUGCGUAGAUAUCGUAAGGAAGACCAGUGGCGAAGGCGGGUCUCUGGACAGUUCCUGACGCUGAGGCACGAAGGCCAGGGGAGCAAACGGG